AGCGGGACGAGAUCCUUUCACCACCACCUUUGCACCAGCGGAGGUGGGGAUUCUGCUUUGCUUUUCGAGUCCUUUGCCAGGCUGUUGGGUUGCAUCCAGCAGCCUCUCAGCCCCACUGGGUCAAUGCCACCAGGCAGCACUGUGUCCCACCUGGCUCUCACCCCUGUACCUUUGCACACUGCAGCUCCCAUCCCGAAGCAAACACUUCCCAGCCGUUUCUGCUGAGUCAGAGAAUGCCUCUGUGAGGGCCGCUGCCGCUUCUCCACGUGGGAAUGCGCUCCCGGGGAAUAAUUACAGGGAGUUUAAACAGGGCCGUUUGGCAGCCAAAUUGCUUCACGCUCAGGCGCCUGGCCAGCAAGGCAGAGUCCAAAAGCAGCUUUUUGGCACUGCGAGAAAACACUCUGCACCUGCACUCAUCGUGGGUGUGCAGCACCCAUGGGCUGGGAGCGCUCCUGGCAUCGCAGCACCCAGUGUCCUUAUUGCUCUGUGGGCCCAACAGAGCAGAGCACUUUGCUGGGUGCAGUUGUGCACUUACUGAGCAUCCACGUGCACAUCCUCUUCUCAGGGUUGUGCCCAUCUCCAGGAGGAUUUUCAGCCCCCCUGCGCUGGGUUUGGGAGCACGUUGCAUGGCAGGAUGCUGCUGCCUGUGAUGGGGAUGAUGACAGAGCCGGGGAUUAGUCCCCACUCUGCGUUUCGAGGCAUAUUUAAAGGUUUUGAAACAUCUUGACUGUGAAAUAGAGAUAAGAACUGGAGGAGACGCAAACUGCGGAGGCGUCACUCCCAUUUUUUUCACAGCUCCCACCCGGCUGCAAAAAAUAGCGCCAUCAGCAGCACCCAACACUGUGCAACACACACACAGCGUGGACACAGCGGUGCUGGGACGCCCAGAAACCAGCACACUCUCACACAGGAGCAGAGCAAAGUGCAGCAAAACCUGCAGGCACCAAGGGACGGCUCUUCCCACUGAGAAACAGGAGGAGUUUCUCAGCGUUGACUCAGUUUGUUUCCGAAGCGGCACAGCCCUCAGACCACACCUGCCCCAUCAGCCCUAAGUGCCCUUAAUUCCUCGGCGAGCAGUUUCUAAACCUGAAUUAGGAAGGAAAAAAAAAAAAAAAACAAUAAAUAAAAAGGAAUGAAGUGGUGGAGUGAUUGCAGUAAUCAGAUACGCCGCGUCCCCGCUGCCGCCCAUCGGCCGGGGGUGGUGGGCACGGCCACGAGAGCAUCGCCCAGCGUGGGAUGGGGGAGCUGGCUUUGGGGACAGACACACGGACGGGAAAGAGCUACAUGGAUGGUGGCAGCUCCCGACGAGGCUAGUGGAAAAUCUCCAAACACACAGCAAACAGCCGAGGGGCCGUGCAACAGCAAGAACCAAGAUUUGUUGCUCCUUCUUCAUCCACUUCAGGCAGGGAUUGCUACUUUUCAUUACGAUUAUUAUCCUAAUUCCUUCUUUACUUACUCCAGUACCACCUCAUCACCAGCACAGGAGGGAUUUUGGAGGUGCAGACCCCAAGCCUUGUUGACAGCAUCAUGCCCAGGGUGGCCAUAAAUAAUUUCAAAUCAUUUUACUGAUUUCUGGCACAACUGCUGGAAGCCCUCCUUGCUUACACACAAUACGAUCUGAGUUCAAUGGUUUGCCAUAUGCAAACAAGAGCUGGGUGAAAUCAGAGAAAGAAUGGCUGAAUGGAUGGGUUGGGAGACCAAAAAAUGAAAUAAAAUAGGGAAAAUGUGUACUUUCUGCUGAUCAUAGCCUUUUUAUUUCAGCUGAGCGUGGAACCCUCUGAGAGGCACUGGCUGCACAUUUUGGGGUGGCAUCUCAGAGGCACAGAGGCCGACCCUUCACUGUGUCCAUCAACAUGGAUUGCAAUGACAUCGUCACUGCAGAGGUCUGCAAGGAGGACGACAUUGGGGAUGGAGAACUCUGUGAAGUGAUGGUGGCUGGCUACCCGGUGCUGCUGGUGAGGAACAAGAUGGAGUUCAGCGCCCUGGGCAGUAGGUGCCCACACUACGGCGCGCCGCUCAGCAAAGGGGUCUUGAGAGGGCACAGGCUGCGCUGCCCCUGGCACGGCUCCUGCUUCAACAUCCGAACUGGAGAUAUUGAGGAGUACCCUUCUCUGGACUGCCUGCCUUGCUUUAAGGUAACAGUGGAAGAUGGAAAGGUGUUUGUAACAGCUAAAAAGAAGGAUCUUGAAAGCAGCCUGAGGGUGAAGGACAUGAGCAAACGAUGCCUUCUCAACCGGAACACCAUGCUUCUCCUGGGGGGAGGUGUGGCUGCCCUGACCUGUGCAGAGACACUUCGCCAAGAGGGCUUUACUGGCAGGAUCAUCAUGGCCACCAAAGAGAAACAUGCUCCGUAUGACAAGUCCAAACUGAGCAAGGAAAUGAAUUUAAAAGCUGAGGACAUCUACCUGAGGAAGCCUGAAUUCCUGUGCGCUCAUGGCAUAGAGCUCUGGACAGAGAAAGAGGCAGCGUCAGUGGAUUUCCAGAAGCAGAAGGUUUGCUUCAUGGACGGAUCCUCUCAGAAGUACAACCAGCUGCUCAUUGCAACAGGUGGACACUCCAGCUUCCUCGAAGUCCCAGGUGCAGACCUGCAGAACGUGUGUCAUCUUCAAACCCCAGAGGAUUCUAGCAAGGUCUUAGAGCUGGCAACUGGGAAGAAUCUUGUGAUUGUAGGAGCUUCAUUCGUAGGAAUGGAGGCAGCUGCCUUCCUCUCAGACAAGGCUGCUGUCAUCUCGGUGGUGGAAAAACAUGAGUUCCCUUUCCAGAAGACGCUGGGUCCUCAGGUUGGAGGCGUUGUCUUGAAGAUGCUGCAAAGUAAGGGAGUCAAGUUUUACAUGAAAAAAGAACUCCAUGAGCUGAAAGGGAAGGAUGGAAAGGUCACAGAAGCCAUUCUUGCCAGUGGAGAAAAACUACCUGCGGAUGUGGUGGUGGUGGGAAUAGGGGUGACCCCCAACUCUUCAUUUCUGAAGGGCACCUCCAUUGCCAAAGACAAAAGUGGUGCCAUCCUGGUGGACCUGCACAUGCAAACCAACAUCCCAAACGUCUUUGCUGGGGGGGAUGUUGUCUCCUUUCCCGUAGCGCUGCUCAAUGGGAACCACUCCAGCAUCCAUCACCAACAGGUGGCCGAGGCCCAUGGUUCCAUCGCUGCCUUUAACAUGUUGAAGAAACAGAAGGAGUUGCACACCGUCCCCUUCUUCUGGACCACGAUGCUUGGGAGAAGUAUCCACUAUGCAGGUAGGAUGGGGCAGAGAGAGAGGAAUGAAAGGGCACAAUUGUCCCUCUCCAAGCCAAGGAGGAAUGUGGGACCACGUGCAGUCCUGCUCCUCUGGGUCAGCUCUGCUCAGCCAGAGUCUCUCUGCCUGCUCCCAGCCCCAUGCAGAGUCACAUCCCCUCUCCUUCUUCCUGCACUCCAGGUGCCAUUGAGGUGGGGUGGGUGGCACUGCUGUACCAGAGCUUCCUGACCCCACGACCAUCUUCUGCAGGCUGCGGUAAGGGCUACACAGACACCGUUCUGAAGGGCAGCUUGGAGCAACAGAAGUUCCUCAUCUUCUACCUUAAGGAUGGCUUUGUGACAGCAGCUGCCAGCCUAAACUGUG